AUACGUAGGGAGCGAGCGUUGUCCGGAAUUACUGGGUGUAAAGGGAGCGUAGGCGGGAGUGCAAGUCAGAUGUGAAAUACAUGGGCUCAACCCAUGGGCUGCAUUUGAAACUGCAUUUCUUGAGUGAAGUAGAGGUAAGCGGAAUUCCUGUGUAGCGGUGAAAUGCGUAGAUAUCAGGAGGAACACCGGUGGCGAAGGCGGCUUACUGGGCUUUUACUGACGCUGAGGCUCGAAAGCGUGGGGAGCAAACAGGAUUAGAUACCCUGGUAGUCCACGUUGUAAACGAUGAUUACUAGGUGUGGGGGGACUGACCCCUUCCGUGCCGCAGUUAACACAAUAAGUAAUCCACCUGGGGAGUACGGCCGCAAGGUUGAAACUCAAAUGAAUUGACGGGG
rnacentral:rRNA from 1 species